AACACGAAGGUGAAAGGGGGAGUCUCGCUCCUGAUGACAAAACGCUACGACGAUUUUCCACCAGAAGACGAUCUAAGCAACAUAAAGGAAAGAAACACAAAGACAAAUCUGAAAGGAGCCGAACAAGUAGCAUUCAUACAAAAG
rnacentral:sRNA from 1 species